GGGGCUGGAUUGGAAUUGACAACAAGAUUAAUAUAUAAGUAAGCAUAUCGUGAAAAGUAAUGUAAUCACGUAAAUAUCAUUACAAAUGAUAACCGGCAAAAAAAAUUAUGCUCUUGCUGCUUGAGAAAGCAAGAUUUUUUGAUAAAUUUAAUUUUUAAUUUGAAAGAUUGAGGUUCUAAAUCUUUCUUGAAUUGUUUAGAACUUUCUUAUAAGAAAGAGUUUCUUAUCACUAAUCUUAUGUGAAAUUUUAUCUUUGAUAAGAUAAAUAUGUAGAAAACUUAUAAUAUUACUUGUUUGGACACGGGUUCGAAUCCCGUCAGCUCCACAC
rnacentral:tmRNA from 1 species